UCGGACGUGGUGUGCGGAACACCCUCGCUCUCCGUUGCUGUGCAUGUCCCAACCAUAUACCGCGAGGAACCGGGGUUCGACUCCCCGCGUCUGAA